UACGUAGGUGACCAGCGUUGUCCGGAUUUACUGGGCGUAAAGAGCGCGCAGGCGGUCGUUCAAGUCGAGUGUGAAAUCUCGGAGCUUAACUCCGAAACUGCAUUCGAUACUGCCGUGCUUGAGGACUGGAGAGGAGACUGGAAUUUACGGUGUAGCGGUGAAAUGCGUAGAUAUCGUAAGGAAGACCAGUGGCGAAGGCGGGUCUCUGGACAGUUCCUGACGCUGAGGCACGAAGGCCAGGGGAGCAAACGGG
rnacentral:rRNA from 1 species